rnacentral:rRNA from 1 species
AUACGGAGGGGGCUAGCGUUGUUCGGAAUUACAGGGCGUAAAGCGUACGUAGGCGGACUGAUCAGUUGGGGGUGAAAUCCCAGGGCUUAACCCUGGAACUGCCUUCAAUACUGUCAGUCUUGAGAUUGGAAGAGGUGAGUGGAAUUCCUAGUGUAGAGGUGAAAUUCAUAGAUAUUAGGAGGAACACCAGUGGCGAAGGCGGCUCACUGGUCCAAUACUGACGCUGAGGUACGAAAGCGUGGGGAGCAAACAGGAUUAGAAACCCUAGUAGUCC